UUGAUUUUUAACAUCAAAACGCAUUCGCGGACAGCUACCGGCUGCUCGUAGUAAUUUCAAAAGUCGAUGUACAUAUAAUAUUUUAUCACUGCCGGCUAUAAUAAAAGCGGUAGAAUAAAAAUCGUUAAAAUAAACACGGCAAUUUUACACGUUAUUAUAGCAGUCGUAAUAGUUUCAACGGUUUCGUAAUAUGAGAGACGUUUCACUGUCCCGGUGUGCGGAACUUCGAAACGUCGGGCGCUGUUUUAUUUUAGUUUCUGACCAAAGAAAGCUUAUGGUUUUACAAAGAUCUGCGUGCAAAUUCUCUACCAGAAAUCUCGCUCCGAUUUUUAAGUGCAGCACAUUUACUGAAAGGGAAUCGGUUUCGGAGGUAUACUUUAAGGAGGUCACUUUUCGAUAUUCUCAAGAAUUUUCCCAGCAAAUAUAGAAAACCGAAAAAAAACUGCUGAAAAAUAUAAAUAUUUAACGAAAUAUAAUACUAAAAUAUUACGAUUUUCUUUUUCUGUGACUUUUAUCAUAACUUUUCUACAAGCAAUUUGCCUCCAAUUUAUAAUGAUAGCGAUUUCUC